rnacentral:rRNA from 1 species
AAACUUUUUAGGUGAACCUGCGGAAGGAUCAUUA